rnacentral:pre_miRNA from 1 species
CUACUCCCUCCGUCCUAAAAUUCUUGUCUUAGAUUUGUCUAAAUACAGAUGUAUCAAGUCAUAUUUUAAUAUUAAUUUUAAUACUAUUAGAUACAUAUGUAUCUAGACAAAUGUAAGUCAAGAAUUUUGGGACAGAGGUUCGACUUA